UCAUACAUACAGAUCUCAGGCUGAUCUCAGAACAGGUAAUACAGAGGUCUUAGGCUGAUCUCAGAACAGCUGAUCUCAGAUCAGAUCACACAUUGAGCUCUCAAUCUGAUCUCAGAUCAGAUCAUACAUACAGCUCUCAAGCUGAUCUCUGAUCAGGUAAUACAUACAGGUCUCAAGCUGACCUCAGAUCAGGUCAUACAUAGAGGUCUUAGGCUGAUCUCAGAAAAGGUCAUACAUACAGAUUUUAGGCUGAUCUCAGAACAGCUGAUCUCAGAUCAGGUCGCAAAUGGAGCUCUCAAGCUGAUCUCAGAUCAGGUCAUACAUACAGCUCUCAAGCUGAUCUCAGAUCAGGUCAUACAUACAGCUCUCAGGCUGAUCUCAGACAUCUGAUCUCAGAUCAGGUCACAUAUAGAGCUCUCAAGCUGAUCUCUGAUCCGGUAAUACAUACAGGUCUCAAGCUGAUCUCAGAUCAGGUCAUACAUAGAGCUCUCUGGCUGAUCUCAGAUCAGGUAAUACAUACAGCUCUCAGGCUGAACUCAGACAUCUGACCUCAGAUCAGGUCACACAUAGAGCUCUCAAACUGAUCUCAGAUCAGGUCAUUCAUACUGCUCUCAGGCAGAUCUCAGAGAGCUGAUCUCAGAUCAGGUCACACAUUGAGCUCUCAAACUGAUCUCAGAUCAGGUCAUACAUACAGCUCUCAAGCUGAUCUCAGAUCAGGUCAUACAUACAGGUCUUAGGCUGAUCUCAGAACAGGUCAUACAGAGGUAUUAGGCUGAUCUCAGAACAGCUGAUCUCAGAUCAGGUCACACAUUGAGCUCUCAAACUGAUCUCACAUCAGGUCAUACAUACAGCUCUCAAGCUGAUCUCAGAUCAUGUCAUACAUACAGCUCUCAGGCUGAUCUCAGACAUCUGAUCUCAGAUCAGGUCACACAUAGAGCUCUCAAACUGAUCUCAGAUCAGGUCAUUCAUACUGCUCUCAGGCAGAUCUCAGACAGCUGAUCUCAGAUCAGGUCACAUAUAGAGCUCUCAAACUGAUCUCAGAUCAGGUCACACAUAGAGCUCUCAAGCUGAUCUCAGAUCAGGUCAUACAUAUAGAUCUCAGGCUGAUCUCAGACAGCUGAUCUCAGAUCAGGUCCCACAUUGAGCUCUCAAGCUGAUCUCAGAUCAGGUCAUACAUACAGCUCUCAAGCUGAUCUCAGAUCAGGUCAUAAAUUCAGGUCUUAGGGUGAUCGCAAAUCAGGUCACACAUAGAGCUCUCAAACUGAUCUCAGAUCAGAUCAUACAUACAGCUCUGAAGCUGAUCUCAGAUCAGAUCAUACAUACAGCUCUGAAGCUGAUCUCAGAUCAGGUCAUACAUACAGCUCUUAAGCUGAUCUCAGAUCAGGUCAGACAUACAGCUGUCAAACUGAUAUCAAAUCAGGUCAUACAUACAGGUCUUAGGGUGAUCGCAGAUCAGGUCACACAUAGAGCUCUCAAACUGAUCUCAGAUCAGUUCAUACAUACAGCUCUGAAGCUGAUCUCAGAUCAGGUCAUACAUACAGCUCUUAAGCUGAUCUCAGAUCAGGUCAGACAUACAGCUGUCAAACUGAUAUCAAAUCAGGUCAUACAUUCAGGUCUUAGGGUGAUCGCAGAUCAGGUCACACAUAGAGCUCUCAAACUGAUCUCAGAUCAGAUCAUACAUACAGCUCUGAAGCUGAUCUCAGAUCAGGUCAUACAUACAGCUCUUAAGCUGAUCUCAGAUCAGGUCAGACAUACAGCUGUCAAACUGAU